rnacentral:rRNA from 1 species
CACGUAGGGUGCAAGCGUUGUCCGGAAUCAUUGGGCGUAAAGAGCUCGUAGGCGGCUUAGUAAGUCGGGUGUGAAAACCCCAGGCUCAACCUGGGGACGCCACCCGAUACUGCUAUAGCUAGAGUCCAGUAGGGAGUGUGGAAUUCCCAGUGUAGCGGUGAAAUGCGCAGAUAUUGGGAGGAACACCAGCGGCGAAGGCGGCGCUCUGGGCCGGUACUGACGCUGAGGAGCGAAAGCGUGGGGAUCAAACAGG